rnacentral:rRNA from 1 species
UCAGGCCUAACACAUGCAAGUCGAGGGGUAGAAGGAGCUUGCUCCUUUGAGACCGGCGCACGGGUGCGUAACGCGUAUGCAAUCUACCUUUUACAGAGGGAUAGCCCAGAGAAAUUUGGAUUAAUACCUCAUAGUAUAUAUCAUUCGCAUGUUUGGUAUAUUAAAGUUCCAACGGUAAAAGAUGAGCAUGCGUUCCAUUAGUUAGUUGGUAAGGUAACGGCUUACCAAGACGAUGAUGGGUAGGGGUCCUGAGAGGGAGAUCCCCCACACUGGUACUGAGACACGGACCAGACUCCUACGGGAGGCAGCAGUGAGGAAUAUUGGUCAAUGGACGCAAGUCUGAACCAGCCGUGCCGCGUGCAGGAAGACGGUCCUAUGGAU